GGGUUGUGAGGUUAAGCGACUAAGCGUACACGGUGGAUGCCCUGGCAGUCAGAGGCGAUGAAGGACGUGCUAAUCUGCGAUAAGCGCCGGUAAGGUGAUAUGAACCGUUAUAACCGGCGAUUUCCGAAUGGGGAAACCCAGUGUGACUCGUCACACUAUCAUUAACUGAAUCCAUAGGUUAAUGAGGCGAACCGGGGGAACUGAAACAUCUAAGUACCCCGAGGAAAAGAAAUCAACCGAGAUUCCCCCAGUAGCGGCGAGCGAACGGGGAGGAGCCCAGAGUCUGAAUCAGCAUGUGUGUUAGUGGAAGCGUCUGGAAAGGCGCGCGAUACAGGGUGACAGCCCCGUACACAAAAGCGCAUAUGCUGUGAGCUCGAUGAGUAGGGCGGGACACGUGGUAUCCUGUCUGAAUAUGGGGGGACCAUCCUCCAAGGCUAAAUACUCCUGACUGACCGAUAGUGAACCAGUACCGUGAGGGAAAGGCGAAAAGAACCCCGGCGAGGGGAGUGAAAAAGAACCUGAAACCGUGUACGUACAAGCAGUGGGAGCACCCUUUGGGGUGUGACUGCGUACCUUUUGUAUAAUGGGUCAGCGACUUAUAUUCUGUAGCAAGGUUAACCGUAUAGGGGAGCCGCAGGGAAACCGAGUCUUAACCGGGCGUUAAGUUGCAGGGUAUAGACCCGAAACCCGGUGAUCUAGCCAUGGGCAGGUUGAAGGUUGGGUAACACUAACUGGAGGACCGAACCGACUAAUGUUGAAAAAUUAGCGGAUGACCUGUGGCUGGGGGUGAAAGGCCAAUCAAACCGGGAGAUAGCUGGUUCUCCCCGAAAGCUAUUUAGGUAGCGCCUCGUGAAUUCAUCUCCGGGGGUAGAGCACUGUUUCGGCUAGGGGGCCAUCCCGGCUUACCAACCCGAUGCAAACUGCGAAUACCGGAGAAUGUUAUCACGGGAGACACACGGCGGGUGCUAACGUCCGUCGUGAAGAGGGAAACAACCCAGACCGCCAGCUAAGGUCCCAAAGUCAUGGUUAAGUGGGAAACGAUGUGGGAAGGCCCAGACAGCCAGGAUGUUGGCUUAGAAGCAGCCAUCAUUUAAAGAAAGCGUAAUAGCUCACUGGUCGAGUCGGCCUGCGCGGAAGAUGUAACGGGGCUAAACCAU
rnacentral:rRNA from 1 species